rnacentral:rRNA from 1 species
UACAGAGGGUGCUAGCGUUGUUCGGAAUCAUUGGGCGUAAAGGGCGUGUAGGCGGUUUGUUAAGUCAUGUGUGAAAUCCCUCGGCUCAACCGGGGAAGGACGCAUGAAACUGGCAAGCUAGAGUACCAAAGAGGGGGGUGGAAUUCCCGGUGUAGCGGUGAAAUGCGCAGAUAUCAGGAAGAACACCUGUGGCGAAGGCGGCCCCCUGGUUGGAUACUGACGCUGAUACGCGAAAGCGUGGGGAGCAAACAGG